CACAGCCACGGUAAUACGAAGGGUGCAAGCGUUAAUCGGAAUUACUGGGCGUAAAGCGCACGUAGGCGGAUAUUUAAGUCAGGGGUGAAAUCCCGCAGCUCAACUGCGGAACUGUCUUUGAUACUGGGUAUCUUGAGUAUGGAAGAGGUAAGUGGAAUUGCGAGUGUAGAGGUGAAAUUCGUAGAUAUUCGGAAGAACACCAGUGGCGAAGGCGGCUUACUAGCCCAUUACUGACGCUGAGGCUCGAAAGCGUGGGGAGCAAACAGGAUUAGAUACCCCCGUAGUCCCUGUCUCUUAUACA
rnacentral:rRNA from 1 species